ACUUUGAAAUUUAAAAGCAAGACUACCCGCUUUAAAAUUUAAGCAUAUUAAUAAGCGGAGGAAAAGAAACUAACUAGGAUUCCCUCAGUAACGGCGAGAGUGAAGCGGGAAAAGCUCAAAUUUUAAAGCCACGUGGUUUCCACGUCGCGUUGUAAAUUCAAGAAACGUUUUCUCUUAUGGGUCUGAUUUAAGUCUGUUGGAAAGCAGCAUCAUAGAGGGUGAAAAUCCGUCUUUGAUUGGAACGCUAUAAGUGUACGAUACGUUUUCGAAGAGUCAGGUUGUUUGGGAAUGCAGCCUAAAAUGGGUGGUAAAUUUCAUCUAAAGCUAAAAUUGCCACGAGACCGAUAGCGAACAAACCGUGAGGAAAGAUAAAAAUAAAUUUAAAAUUUUAAAUUUAAAUUUAAAUAGCGAACAAGUACCGUGAGGGAAAGAUGAAAAGAACUUUGAAAAGAGAGUUAAAUAGUACGUGAAACUGUUAAAGGGAAUCUUAUGAGGCUAGUAUUUGGACUUGUCAUAAUCAAUUAGUCGUAUUGCGGACUGGUGCGCUGGAGAGUGUUAAAGCCUCGAGGUGGCAGUGUAAAUGACCGAUUAGUGCACUUGUGAUUUGUUCAGGCCAGCAUCAGUUUGGAGUGGUGUAUAAGGGUAUUCGGAAGGUGAUUUGACCCCCUUGUGGGUGGAAUGUUAUAGCCGUUUGCCACUGCAUGGCGUCAGACUGAGGAGUCGCGGAACGUGCCUUUUGGCUAGCUCCCUGGUGCAUAGGCGGCCCGAAAUGUAGUGUGACACAAGUCCGCUGCAAGAGAGGGACGACUACGUGUGGUAGGUGCAGUAUAAACGUUUUGAGGAUGUUGGUGAAAUGGCCUUAUCAGUCCCGUCUUGAAACACGGACCAAAAAUUUAAAAUUUAAUGCGAGUUAAAAUUUAAAAUUUUGGGUUGAUUGAAACACGGACCAAAGGAGUUAACAUAUAUGCGAGUCUUUGGGUGAGAAGGCCCGCAGGCGCAAUGAAAGUGAAGGCUAACAUGGUUAGCUGAGGUGAGAACCGCAAGGUGCAUCAUCGACCGAUCUGAAUGGUUUCCUGAAAGAUUUGAGUAAGAGCACAUAUGUUGGGACCCGAAAGAUGGUGAACUAUGCCUGAAUAGGGUGAAGUCUGAAGAAAUUCAGAUGGAAGCUCGUAGCGAUUCUGACGUGCAAAUCGAUCGUCAAAUUUGGGUAUAGGGGCGAAAGACUAAUCGAACUAUCUAGUAGCUGGUUCCCUCCGAGUUUCCCUCAGGAUAGCUGGAACUAUUACGCAGUUUUAUCAGGUAAAGCGAAUGAUUAGAGGACUCGGUGGCGCAAUGCUGUCGGCCUAUUCUCAAACUUUAAAUAGGUAAGAAGUCUGACCCGCUUAAUUGGGGCCAGACACUGAAUGCAAGUUUUAAAAUUUAAAAUUUUGGUAAGCAGAAAAAUUUAAAAUGCGGGAUGAACCGAACGUUAAAAUUUAAAAGUUAAAAUUUACACGCUCAGAACUUGCGGGAGAACCGAACGUUAAGUUAAAACGGUGAAAAGGUGUUGGUAGAUGAAGACAGCAGGACGGUGGCCAUGGAAGUCGGAAUCCGCUAAGAGUGUGUAACAACUCACCUGCCGAAUCUACUAGCCCUGAAAAUGGAUGGCGCUCAAGCGUGUCACUUUAUACUUAACCGUCAGGGCAAAUGCGAAGCUUUGACGAGUAGGAGGGCGUGAUGAUUGUUUAGAAGCCUAGAGCGUAAGCUUGGGUGAAAACGGUCAUUAGUGCAGAUCUUUGGUGGUAGUAGCAAAUAUUCAAAUGAGAACUUUGAAGACUGAAGUGGAGAAAGGUUCCAUGUGAACAGCAGUUGGACAUGGGUUAGUCGAUCCUAAAGAUAGGGAAAUUCCGUAUUAAAGUUGUGCAAAGCCCUCGGGUGGAGCGCCGCCUAUCGAAAGGGAAUCGGGUUAAUAUUCCCGAACCUCGACGAGGAGGAAAAUUAAGCGGCAACGCAAAUGAACUACGCGACGUCAGCUGGAGCCCUGGGAAGAGUUCUCUUUUCUUUUUAACGAAUCAUUACCAUGAAAUCAAUUUAUUUGGAGCUAUGGUUUAAUAUUCGGUAAAAGCAGUCUACUUCUUGGACUGUCCGGUGCGCUCCAGAUGACCCGUGAAAAGCGUAGGGAACGAUUUAUUUUCUCGCGAGGUCGUACUCAUAACCGCAGCAGGUCUCCAAGGUGAAAAGCCUCUAGUUGAUAGAAUAAUGUAGGUAAGGGAAGUCGGCAAAUUAGAUCCGUAACUUCGGGAUAAGGAUUGGCUCUUAGGGUUGGGCUAGUCGAGCCCUUUGUUUGAAGCAAUACGGACCGGAACUGGACUAGGCCGCAAGGCCCGGACCGGAUCUGGACUGUUUGUGGAAGGCUUGGGCAGUGCUUGCACGUUUGGCUAGCGAUUAACAACCAACUAAGAACUGGUACGGACAAGGGAAUCCGACUGUUUAAUUAAAACAAAGCAUUGCGAUGGCCGGAAAUGGUGUUGACGCAAUGUGAUUUCUGCCCAGUGCUCUGAAUGUCAAAGUGAAGAAAUUCAACCAAGCGCGGGUAAACGGCGGGAGUAACUAUGACUCUCUUAAAGGUAGCCAAAUGCCUCGUCAUCUAAUUAGUGACGCGCAUGAAUGGAUUAACGAGAUUCCCACUGUCCCUAUCUACUAUCUAGCGAAACCACAGCCAAGGAACGGGCUUGGCAGAAUCAGCGGGGAAAGAAGACCCUGUUGAGCUUGACUCUAGUCCGACUUUGUGAAAAACAUGAGAGAUGUAGAAUAAGUGGGAGGAGCAAUCCGACAGUGAAAUACCACUACUUUCAAAUUUUUUUUUUUACUUAUUAAAUUAAGCGGACUUAAUUUAAAAUUUAAAAUUUAAAAUUUAAAAUUUAAAAUUUAAAAUUUAAAAUUUAAAAUUUAAAAUUUAAAAUUUAAAAUUUAAAAUUUAAAAUUUAAAAUUUAAAAUUUAAAAUUUAAAAUUUAAAAUUUAAAAUUUAAAAUUUAAAAUUUAAAAUUUAAAAUUUAAAAUUUAAAAUUUAAAAUUUAAAAUUUAAAAUUUAAAAUUUAAAAUUUAAAAUUUAAAAUUUAAGGAUUUAAAUUUAAAAUUUAAAAUUUAAAAUUUAAAUUUAAAAUUUAAAAUUUAAAAUUUAAAAUUUAAAAUUUAAAAUUUAAAAUUUAAAAUUUAAAAUUUAAAAUUUAAAAUUUAAAAUUUAAAAUUUAAAAUUUAAAAUUUAAAAUUUAAAAUUUAAAUUUAAAAUUUAAAAUUUAAAAUUUAAAAUUUAAAAUUUAAAAUUUAAAAUUUAAAGUUUAAGUUUAAAAUUUAA
rnacentral:rRNA from 1 species